rnacentral:lncRNA from 1 species
UUCGUGUCCUAUUUCAGGAACUUGUAUAUUUUAUCACCACAAAUGGAGUGAGGUGAGAAAUAGUCUUGAAGCAUGAUGGAAAAUGAAUCUUUAGUUAGAAGACUGACUUUCUGAAACUGAAUUCGACUUCUGGGAAAAAACACCAGCCUCCUUACAAUGAUCAAUAUUCAUUCUUAAAUGUUAAAAGUCAAUCUGGACAGAGGACAUAUUGAUCAAUGACAGGAAGGUCAAGAUCAGACAUGUUUUCAUUUGGAUAUGAUUGUGCUGCCUACAAGGAGAAAGAGACCAGCAAUCGGGAAAGAGGGCAAGGUAGUCAGAAGGCUUAUUGUCCACCUGAAAUCUUUCCUCAAAGAGCAACAGACUUGGACUGAUUUGUGCGGCUGGCAGACAGAAGAAUGGGCAUUUUGCAUUUUCUGUGAGGUAGCUGUGAGUCACCCAAUGGUUGGCCAGUUUCAUAUUCUCUGUGCAAGCUCACUCUUGCAAUGAGUCUCUCCCAUUGUUGAUGCAAAUAGGUUGGGAAUCCAUCUGGACAAGACCUUGCCUCCUGUCUGGGAUGCUCUUCUUUUCCCUGGAAUAAAGGGCUUCUUUCUUGUCAUCUCAGGGUCUUUUCUUUUAAUGUUGAAUCAGCAACUGGGUGCAGAUCUGGAACUGUUGUAAUGAUUAGAGGCCCAGGAUCUUGUUCUUCUGAAUCAAAGAGUCAUAGCCAAGAGGAUAGAAACCUCACUCUUCAAGAAGCAGCAGCAAGAGAGAGGAGAACCUGCUUGUCUGGCCCUUAAACAUGUUCCACAUCACUGAUUAAAUCAGAGAAUCAAUAACCUGCUCUUCAGGUUCCAUAGACAGAAACUUCUUGUCAUGUUUCCAUACCCAAGGUCUCACAACCUGGAAUGGCAGUGUUAACAAAUAGCGAGAGGGACACUUGUACUAGAGUUAAAAGACCUAAGUUCAAAUUCCAUCCAUGAUAUUUAU